rnacentral:rRNA from 1 species
AUUGAACGCUGGCGGCAGGCCUAACACAUGCAAGUCGAGCGAGCGGCGGACGGGUGAGUAAUGUCUGGGGAUCUGCCCGAUAGAGGGGGAUAACUACUGGAAACGGUGGCUAAUACCGCAUACUAUCGGAUGAACCCAGAUGGGAUUAGCUAGUAGGUGGGGUAAAGGCCUACCUAGGCGACGAUCCCUACCUGGUCUGAGAGGAUGAUCAGCCACACUGGAACUGAGACACGGCCCAGACUCCUACGGGAGGCAGCAGUGGGGAAUAUUGGACAAUGGGCGCAAGCCUGAUGCAGCCAUGCCGCGUGUAUGAAGAAGGCCUUAGGAUUGUAAAGUACUUUCAGCGGGGAGGCGUUACCAGCAGAAUAAGCACCGGCUAACUCCGUGCCAGCAGCCGCGGUAAUAC